GGGGCCGUGGUCUAGCUUGGCUAUGAUUCGCGGCUCGGGCCCGCGAGGUCCUGGGUUCGAAUCCCAGCGGCCCCA
rnacentral:tRNA from 2 species